rnacentral:rRNA from 1 species
UCUGGUGAUUAUGGCGCAGUGGACACACCUCUAUCCAUCCCGAACAGAGAAGUUAAGCACUGUAGCGGCGAAGGUAGUCCGAUGGGCAAGAAUAGCAAGUCGCUGGGC